rnacentral:lncRNA from 1 species
UGGGCGCAUGAAGGGAAGGUCUCUACCCUAUGUGAUUUCUUUUCAAAAAUUACGUUGGUCUCACUCUCACAAUCGAAUUCAUAAAAAUCGAAAAUGACAUUAAUCACCAUGGAUUGUAUUUUUUUUUUUUUUUUGGGUUUCGCUUAUAUAAUGGUAAAGAUGAUAACAUAUUACAAGCACGUAUCGACUCACUCGUAACGCAUGUUUUCUAUAACUGAAAACAUAUUAGCUAGUGAUCUAAAACACGUUGG